UACAUGGGGUGCAAACGUUGCUCGGAAUCACUGGGCGUAAAGGGCGCGUAGGCGGUGUUUUAAGUCGGGGGUGAAAGCCUGUGGCUCAACCACAGAAUGGCCUUCGAUACUGGGACGCUUGAGUAUGGUAGAGGUUGGUGGAACUGCGAGUGUAGAGGUGAAAUUCGUAGAUAUUCGCAAGAACACCGGUGGCGAAGGCGGCCAACUGGACCAUUACUGACGCUGAGGCGCGAAAGCGUGGGGAGCAAACAGG
rnacentral:rRNA from 1 species